GGCACUUCCUAAAACACCCUCCCCCUCUCUCUACCAGACCACCACCAAGGUCCCCGUUCUUCUCUUCCCACUGCCGGCCAAGUCCUCCACAUCCACUGUUGGAACCGCCGUCAAGGUCGCCGCCGCCGCACCAAAAUCGAAGGGGAAGGUGAAGCCCAAAGCAGACGCCGAUGCCGACGCGAUCAAGCCCAAGAGAAACGUCAACAGGAACGCUGCCAUUCUGAAGCCGACUCCGAUCUCUCCAGCUCUCGGCAGCUUCCUCGGCGGCGCCCCUGAGUGUUCUCGCGCCGAGGCUGUGAAGCAGAUCUGGAGCCACAUCAAGCUCCAAAACCUGCAGGUCGUGAUUUCGAUCUCCUUUGCUUCAUUCUCUGCGUUUAUAAUGAUGAUGGUGUGUGUUGAUGCAGUGUUAAAUCCCUGGGUUCUGAAAAAUUUUCCGGUGGACCUCUGCGAACCCAACCCUCAUCGACCAAGCCCUCUGAAGCUCCAGCUCAUCGUCUUCCUCGAAGAGUUCUCCUACCCGCUCUUCACAUCCGACCCGGAUUCCCUCCCCAAAACCCUCCACCGCCUCAUCGAAACCCUCCGCGCCCUGAUCCAGAAACCCGCCGAUGGCGUCCACGUUUCCCUCGCCCUCAUGGAGCAGACCAUGCUCUCCGUCACCGCUAUCGUCAUCGCCGCCGACUACAUGCCGUCGAGC
rnacentral:lncRNA from 1 species